UCAAUCUCUCAACCCGGUUUCAAUCCAACACCAGAAUAGCGCAGGGUCAAGGGGGUUUUAAGGGAGAUACGAGAUAAGAGAGAUACAGCGAAUUUCCAGACUGAGACCGCCUGGUUUUGGAAUAAUAAAAAAAAACGCUACCCUCCUUUUGCACUCUGUGAUGCUAGGAGAGAGAGAAUCUCAGAAUGGCUGACUAUGUGAAGCUGGAUGAGGAGAAGUUUAUCCCAAAGUCAGACAUCUUGUCUCUGCUCAGGACCUACAACUGUUAUCAUGAAGGGAAGAGCUUCCAACUCAGACACAGAGAGGUAGGAGCCCUUCAUAUACUGGCCUGG